GUGAGUGCUCUGGCAUAUAGACAAGCUUUGUUGUUUUCUCUCGGCGAAAAGCAGGCUUUCCUCACGGCAGAAACGAAGGGAAAACCUCAUAAACACGCUGAAAGUUGCUCUGAACGCUUGUUUCUUGGGAAGUGAUCGUCUUUGUUGCUCCCAGGCGUCUCCAUCCAGACUGGAUGAUUCCCAAAGGCCCUAAAACUGCUGUCAUGAAGCCUCCUCUGAAGGUCAGGUCUCCUCACUGGGCUCACUAGACUGGCUGGAAAAUGCUGCUGCUCGAGUCCUGGCGAGAACCAGAAAAUAUGAGCAUAGUCCAGCACCCGGGUCUCGGCACUGGCCUCCUGUGACUCCGCGGUCUUUUCAUGGUCUUUCACCAAAGUGUCACUCUCCGCCCCAGGUUGUUAUCGCCGUGCCGACGUGACAGCUUCAAGCCGCUUCCUCCAGGAAGAGAGGGGGGAAAAAAAACAUUCCAAAGCUGAGCUGAAAGCGUUUCCUAGGAGACGUGAGUGACAUAUCAUUUGUGUACAGGAUUGACGCUCCAUUGUGCGCGUUAAUAACAAUAAAGGCAGCAGAGAGGUGACGCUAAGUGUUCCUUUGCUGUUAUCCUCUGCUAAUUCUUGGAUUAUUAUUUUAUUGAUUGUAAAUACCUGUCAGCGUCUUUGAGACGCUCCACGAGGCCGAUGGAACCAAAGCGAAGGCUUGUCAGCAGGCGGGGAACAGGGCGGAGUAGGACAGAGCGCACCUAAGCGGGGGCGCCCGAACACCAGCGUGUUCGAAUGCCUCCUCUCUUUAAGCGGGACUUACAUCACGGCGUAGAUGUUGCCACACACGGGCUCCGGAAUUCGGGGAGAAUUUGCACAUAAAGGACGUUGGGUCGUCAGGAGUAGUGAGUGUUAGGUUAGUCUUAGGUGGGCAUCUUAGAUCUUGUAAGGCCGGCGUACCUUUCACUCUCGGGGGACGCGCCCGCUCACUUCCAUGGGUGAAGAUGGAUGUACUGGCUCCUUGCCCGCCCGCAGUGGCCGGGCAAGGAGCAUUGAUGUCAGAUACGUUAUUUCAGGAGAGGCGGAGUGUGUAGCCAUCCUUUUCACCAAACAAUACUGCAAUUCUGGUCCAUAGUCUGGCCUUGACUCCCGCAAGUCCCUGUUAUUUGGUCUACCGGACAAAUCCAUUCAUAACCUGCAACUGGUUCAAAACUCUGCUGCGUCAUAUAAGUCAUAUAACACCUGUCUUGCAACAACUCCUCCACUGGCUUCCGACACUGUAAAAAAAUCCAAAUUGACUCAACUUAAAAAAAAUUGUAACCUCGCUGCCUUAAAAUUUUGAUUAAAAUCUACAAAUUAACAACAAUUUAAAAGAUCAAGUUCACAUGACUUAUUGCUUUGUCUUGGGAACUUUCUUUAUUAGGUCAAAUAAACAAAUAUUUUGUUGUAUCAACAAUAGAACUAGAACUAGGGUCUAGGGGUUAGCGCGCAGACCUCACAGCUAGGAGACCAGGGUUCAAUCCCACCCUCGGCCAUCUCUGUGUGGAGUUUGCAUGUUCUCCCCGUGCAUGCGUGGGUUUUCUCCGGGUACUCCGGUUUCCUCCCACAUUCCAAAAACAUGCUAGGUUAAUUGGCGACUCCAAAUUGUCCAUAGGUAUGAAUGAAUGUGAGUGUGAAUGGUUGUUUGUCUAUAUGUGCCCUGUGAUUGGCUGGCGACCAGUCCAGGGUGUACCCCGCCUUACGCCCGAAGACAGCUGGGAUAGGCUCCAGCACCUCCCGCGACCCUCGUGAGGAAAAGCGGUAGAAAAUGAAUGAAUGAACAAUAGAACUAAACAAUAGAAGUAAUCUCAACUCACUUUUGCUAAUUAGCUCAAGUAAAUUCAACUCACAAUUAAAUUGAAAUUAAUUGAAAUAAUUUGUUAACCUGAUUUGAAAAUGAGUAAUAAAGUAAUGAGUAUAAAAUUCUGCUCCUCACCUUCAAGAACCUUCAUAAACCACCUCGCCCUUCAGUACCUCACCAACGUAUUUAUUUACUCUAUCCCGUAAUUCAAAUUCUGACAUUUUAUGUACCUUUGUGUUUUAUAUAUGUAUGUGUGGAAUUUUAACUUUAAAAUUUUUAUUUUAUCUAUUUUAACAACUCUAUACGGUCACCUUGAGUGUCCUGAAAGGCGGCUCUAAAUAAAAUGUAAGUGCAAGGUUGCGUGCUGCGUGCAAGGUUUUCCUGCAUGCAUGCAGAAAAUGAUAUGCAUCCCAAAUUUCUUCCUGCCGGGUUCGGCUGCUGCGGGUUUGAAACCCCGUGCAGGCCGCAUGCGUGUCUUUUGCAAGGUUCCUCAUUUUUGCAAGAAGGAGAGCGAACAUGGGGAUGUAGCCCCCCUUAAACGUGCAGCGGAGAUGGUAGAUCUUCCUGACGUUGAGUGAGAGGAGUGCACCAUCGCGUCUUUUUGCAUAUCGGGGGGGCAACUUGGAGAUCUAGGAGAUCCUGUUGUGCUGCCAUCACCCGUUUAAAAAGGCAAAUACGAGCCGUCAGAUGGAAGAAGAAGAAGAAGUCUGUCACACGUUUGCCGUGUUCUUUUGAAAGAGAACUCUUCAUCGUUAUGUAGCAACCACCCCUCCUCAUCCUCAUCAUCAUCUAUUCCCCAUGAGAAGAGAAAUCCCUUGGCUCCCAGAGAUGGUAGUAAUCUCUUCUUUAUUUACGUUCUCCAACAACAAGUCAAUGUAUGUUAAUCCACGUAUUCCUCCGUAUGGCUCCUGAAGAGGCAAAGCAGCAUUGUGCUCCAGCGUAGCGCUCCGUGUCGACGACGUACGACACACAAUCAGGGGCUCAAACCUCAAACACAAUCGGGUAUUGGAACAUCGCUUUACUGCGACUACAGAGGACGUUUGUGUAGGAAUUGUGGUCGAACGCUGAAGAUGAACCGAAACGCUCCUCAGUGUUUUCACGCCGGAAUGCUUUGAAUGGGAGGGGGGAAUGUGUGAGUACUCCGAAAUGUUACUAUUCCGAGGUAAUUGGGGGUUUCUGAUCCAACAUUGAUAUCUGAUAUCAAACUGAUACCAAAAUGCAGGGGUUGCUAAUAGCCGUUUCUCAGCGCCAUUAGUUUGGGUACCGAUGCUGUACAAAACCUAAUGCUAAAAUGCUAAAGCUACUUACCAUUGAGAGACAUCUUGAGAAACUUUGGACUGUCCGGUCUCUACUUCCGGAUGGGAUUGGGGAUCCAACACAAAAGCCUACAUAUUAUUAAAAUUGAUUAAAACAGACCGUUUUUGCAGGAAGUACGAAAUCCAAAGCAAUACAGCUGAAUAGGUGCAGAUACUGGAAGAUCUAUGAAGAUUUGUGUGCUGGUUUUGGUGUGUAGCUGCUCUACAGGAGUCCACAAUACGUCCCCUUUGGAAGGGAACCUGACUUGAUUAAUCAAUUUACCUUAAAUAUGUUCUGGAUUGGGGCGGCACGGUGGUCUAGGGGUUAGCGCACAGACCUCACAGCUAGGAGACCAGGGUUCAAUUCCACCCUCGGGCAUCUCUGUGUGGAGUUUGCAUGUUCUCCCCGUGCAUGCGUGGGUUUUCUCCGGGUACUCCGGUUUCCUCCCACAUUCCAAAAACAUGCUAGGUUAAUUGGCGACUCCAAAUUGUCCAUAGGUAUGAAUGUGAGUGUGAAUGGUUGUUUGUCUAUAUGUGCCCUGUGAUUGGCUGGCGACCAGUCCAGGGUGUACCCCGCCUUACGCCCAAAGACAGCACCCCCCGCGACCCUCGUGAGGAAAAGCGGUAGAAAAUGAAUGAAUGUUCUGGAUUAUUUGUAAUUAUGAUGUAUAUUGUUCAUUUGUUGAAAGUGAACGUAAAAACGACAUUUGUGGUUCAUGGCGCCACCCAUGACAAAAUACUUCUUGCAUCUCGUCCCGACGAUCCGCCGGACGGAGCCGGAUGAAGCGUUGGUAGGAUGGAAGUUGAGUUGGGCGGCUGCCCCCGCAACCCGACCUUGGAAGGGAGAAGAGAAAUGGAAUGUCGGUUUUUAAACAUAAACACAGACUCCGACCCUGGACUCCAAAGGGUUAAUAAAAAACUCUGGCGUGAGAAUUCCUUGAACUGAUUUGUUCAUUCCGGCUUCGCCUCAUCUGCUUUGCCUUUCCGGUGGGUUCCUCUUCGGGAAGCGGUGGCUGGCAAGGGCGGUCACCGAUAUGAUUAUCGCCGUGUGUCAAUACAAAAAAAGGCAGAAGUGAGCGGCGGAAGAUUCCCCGCUGAGCUGGAAAAUGAACAUCUUUGACCUCAUCAAGCCCGCGGAAGCGUCUCGGCUAGCUAAUUAAGAUGGAGUGCAGGGAAAAGUCGGCCAUCUUCGCCAGAAACUAAUCAAGCGAGCGCACUUCACUGCUCCGAUAGUAUUUACCGAGGAGUCGGUCAGGACAGGAAAAGGACGGACGGCAAGGCCGCUAAGAAUCUUUGCUGCUAGCUGGGCUCAAACCAGGAGUGUCCAAGCUACUCUUCCAUCUUUCUCAACUCUCUCAAAGCACUCUGGGAUGUGUUCCCAAUUGGCAAAUAUUCCCACUUUUUCAGUGAUUCCACAUUUUUGUUCGAAUUUCAGUUCACUUUUAUUUGUAUUCCACUCGUUUGGAUGCUCGGCUAUUUCCGCAUUUGUCCAACUAUUUCAGCAUCAAAACAUUCAGGAUGUUUUUCCAAUGCCCAAUAUUCCCAGGAUUGCCUUAAUUCCACAUUUUCCACAUGCUAUUCCAGUUCAGCUUCAGAAUUUAGAUGCUAUUAUUUGUACUAUUCCUAUUCCUAUUUCCUAUUCAAAACGUUCCCACAUGAGAAUGUUCAGCUCAUCCGGGACAGGAUGGCUAUGUAUUGACACAUUCCCAAAGAAAUCCUAAAUUGUCCAUAAUUUCACACAUCCUUCAGAUGGAUGACCAUUUUUCAUCGGCCCUGUGAUCCGCACAUUCCUCAGCUGAUUGAAAGCAUUCCCGAAACUCCACAUUUCAACAUGAAAACUUUUUAGACAUUUAUGACACCGUUUUCCUGGAAUUCUGCAUUUUCCAGCCCAAAAAUAAAUCCCUUUAUUUUCCACACAUUAGAAUCGAAGAAUUCUCACUGCGUUCACAUUUAAUCCAAACAUGGCUGAGUUCAAAUCACACAAACAUUCCGGUGACCUAUUUUCAACAUUUGUAAAAUUCCCCCGGUUUCCCAGAAUUCCACUUUUUCCAGCCAAAAAAAUAAAUAUUUGAAAUAAAUCGCAAUCAUUCAAGCAUCACGAACAUUCAAGCUAAGCUUUUUCCACAAUACCAGAAUUUCCACUUUUCCCGCAAUUCCACAUUUUCCAUGCAGCAUUACAGAUCAGCUUCAGAUUUUUUUUCUCGGGCCAUUUCCACAAACGGCCCUGGGGCCACACUUUGGACACCUCUGGUUGAAA